rnacentral:misc_RNA from 1 species
GAUGGAGGGAGAUGCCAAGGGAUCUGCAAGGGUUGGUGAUGCAUCUGUUAGAAAAGAUGUAGUUGGAAGUCAGCUUGGGUCCAAUACGCAGUUCAUGUAUGAAGGUUCUUUUGCACAAGGCUUAGACUAUGGAAACUCCCAAUUAUGAAUUUUAAAACAGUGGUUAGUCUUUUGCUGGUACAAGAUGCCAGGGUUUCUCUUCUUGCUGAUAUCUGUGUUAAACUGUCAACAACAUUGUUGGUACUUGUUUGAGAGGACUAGACGCCUAAAGGAUUCCAACUAAUUUCUGCAAAUAUAUUUGUUUGCUAUACUUUGAUUUUAAUUCUCUUCCGCUCUGUACAUACCAUUUGGUUUUGAAUGUCACUUGG